UUGUGGUUAAAAAGCUCGUAGUUGGAUCUCGGCGGACUGAGGGCGGUUUGCUUGCUAGUAUUACUGCCCUAUAGUCCGUAGUUUUGCCAGAGGUUUCGGGGUGCUCUUAAUCGAGUGUCCCGGGAUGCUGGCAGGUUUACUUUGAAAAAAUUAGAGUGCUCAAAGCAGGCUAUUACGCCUGAAUAUUCGUGCAUGGAAUAAUAGAAUAGGAAGUCGUUUCUAUUUUGUUGGUUUUCGGAAAUCGACUUAAUGAUUAAUAGGGACAGUCGGGGGCAUUUGUAUUCAAACGACAGGGGUGAAAUUCUUGGACCGUUUGAAGAUAAACUACUGCGAAAGCAUUUGCCAAGAAUGUUUUCAUUGAUCAAGAACGAAAGUUAAAGGUUCGAAGGCGAUUAGAUACCGCCCUAGUUUUAACCAUAAACGAUGCCAGCUAGCGAUCUGCGGACGUUUUUUUUGUAGACUCCGCAGGAAGCUUCCGGGAAACCAAAGCAUUUGGGGUUCCAGGGG
rnacentral:rRNA from 1 species